GGCCAGGGACUGAUUUCUCCCUUCCCAUAUAACGGUCGGAAUGCGCCCCACCUACCUCCAAAAUUACCUCUCAGACCUCUCCGAUAUCCCUCACCAUUCCCCCGCCUCCCCCCGCUGCCGGAAAUUGCCCACGGCAGCGGCACAACCCCAAACCACCUCAAAUUAUCACCCUCUAGUCCCAAGACCACCCUCAGUCCAAAUCUAUUAUUGGUUUCCCCAGAAAACCCCUCAAUAAUGUCGAAUAGUAGAUCUAGGAAACACUAAAACCUAAAUCCACCCCAUUUUUGUUUUUUAUUUUCUCAAAUACCAGUUUGUUUGGGCUUAAUACUAACACCAAUCGACUUCUCUCGUUGAGUAUUAUAGAUUGGCGUUGGUUUCGCCUCGUUUUAAGACCGUCAGAAUUCGGUCAAACUCCGGUUGACUGUCCUAUUCAUCCCUUCCUCGCUUCGCUUCCUUUCUCCGGCCAGUAGGAGAUAUUGGUAUAUAAAACAUUGGAUUGCUCGGAUAAAUCCGGCCCAUGUUCAUGUGGCAAUCUCUCUGGCUCGCCAUAAUAUUCUCUAGUCGUUUUGAUUAACCUCAAUAGGUAUUGCCUCCCUUUAUUCCUUUCAUUUUUAUUUCUGUUCUUAUGUGUGUUUGUUGUUUCUGUCAAUUCAUAUGUGCAUAAUCACAUGCUAUAAUUGUUGAUUAAGGGUCUUUUUCUAUUAUUCUGAUUUCAUGUUUAGCUGUUUAGUUGAUCUCAUGAACUAGCCUGUUCAAAUUCUUUUGUUAAUUCCCUUUUGUUUAUCAUUAGUGAUUAGUUAUUGUUUUUAGGUCUUAGUUGAUUUUGGGUCGUGUUAGUAAUUAUCACAACCCAAUUCCAUUUUUGGCCGUGAUGGCGCCCAGCACCAUUGCUAGGCAAGCCAACAAUGAACAAUCCAGUCAUUUUCCCAUUUUAAUAUAUUUUUUCCAAGUAAAUAACUUUCCUUAAUUUACUAGGUUUAGUAAGAAACAGAUUUAAAUUAAUAAAACGAAAGCAACUGAAUGUAUUUGCGGCCAUAGGAAUAAAAGCAAAAUCACAAGUCUACUAGUGUGUGCCAAGAUCUGGUGUCACAAGUGUGUGGGCUACUAGUGUAAUAUAUAAAAGAUCUCUACUCUACCGUAUGAAAUAGAAUAGACAGAAAAUAAAUCAAACGAGAGACUCUGGCUGCUGCUGAACGGCUCGGAAGGGAAGAUCGCCGUGUGGUCUCGGACCAGAAGUCAAGCGUGCGCGCCAGACUGAUAAUCAAAUUCACCUGCCUCAUAUCCUGUACGACAAGUGCAGAAGUGUAGCGUGAGUACAUAAACAACAUGUACCCAGAAAGUAUCUAGUCUAACCUCGAAGAAGUAGUGACUAGAGGUCGACUUCGACACUUACUAUGGGCCAAAAAUAUAAAAGUAUGAAGUUCUAAUUAAACAUGAUAUAUAAACCGAUAAUAGUACUCAGAGCAGGAAAAAUAAGUAAACAAUCCUUCCAUUUCAAGUAAGAACCAAGUCAUUUCUCUCGUCUAAUCCUUUCACCUUUCAAGUUCAUGGAACAAUAUUAAAUAUAAAGGGAGUUCCAAUAUCUUUACGCAUGAAUUAUGCCGAGGACGUACGACCCGAUUCAAAUAUACAUAUAAAUAUAUUGUGCACCACCGAGUGUCGAACGGCCCGAACCAUAAAUACAUCGAUUAACCUGCUGAGGCGAACGAUCCGCUCCCAUGAGAUUAGUGAAAAUUUACCCCGCUCGCGGAAUAUACUUGCGAAGCGGUUGAGUAUAGAUUUUUUCAAGUUAUCACAAUAUUUCUCAAUUCUUUUCGAAAUAAGAAAUUCAGCUAGGAACCUUUAAAAUAUUAAAAUCCUCAACCUCCGCUUUAAUCCAAAUACAUAGUUUGCAUAAACAAGCAACGGUAUCAACAAAAACAUAGUGUAAGCCUAAAUCUAUCCGGACAUAAGCAUGAAUAGUAGCUAUGCACGGACUCUCGUCACUUCGUAUGUAUGUAGCUCCCGUAAAUAGUAGUACAUAAUGACUAAAUUCACCUAUGGGGUUAAUUACCUCUUACAAGGUGAGAUAAGAGACUUACCUCAUUUCAAGGCCUAAUUUCCGGUCCAAGAAUGUGCUCACACCCUCAAUUCAGUGCCGAAUCAAUCCAAAACUAAUCAAAUAGUAUAUAAACUAAUCAAUACAUGCUCAAAAGUUCGUAUUCUAACUCUUAAAGGGAUUACCCAACCCCAAUUGAAGAAUUUCCAAAAUUCACCCCGGGCCCACAUGCCCGGAUUUCGGAACUAUUCGAAGAAAAUUAUUACCCAUAACCUCAUGAACUCAAAUAUAUGAUGUUUUUUUUUACUAAAUUCCAUAACAAUUUCGUGUUUAAAUCUCAUUUUUGUCAAAAUCCUAGGUUUUCACCUAAACCCAUGACUUUCACUAAUUUACUUGUUAUAAUCUACCCAUGAACCAUGUAUUAAACUCACAUUGUGUGGAAAUUAUCUACCUCAAGGCGCUAGGUGAAAUCCCUUCUCUAAGAGCUCCAAGAUUCGCCCAACAAUGAAAGAAAAUGAGCCAAAAUAGCCCUAGUCCCAUUUUUAAAAGAUGAUUCUGCCCAGGGGUCCUUAUACGCGAUCGCGGCCAAGCACUCGCGAUCGCAAUGGCUAAACUGAAGAGCCCAGGAAAAGGCUCUAUGCGAACACGAGAGGACCUAUGCGAACGUGAUGCACUGGGGCGCUUACUCCUCGCAAAUGCGGGGCCCAACAUGCGAAAGCGUAAGGCAACUGGGUCGCCCAGGCCCAGGCCUAGGCCCAGGCUUCUACGUGAAUGCGACCUUCUCCAUGCGAACACGAAGGGCAAAAACCUCCAGUCCCCAAAUCCUUCACCGCGAACGUGAGGAUCUGUCUGCGUUCGCUAAGAAGGAAACCAGAACAGAAAAUCUAGUAUUUUGAACUUAUCUCAGGGCGGUCCGAAACACACCCGAGCCCCUCGGGACCUCGUCCAACUACACCAACAAGUCUAUAAACAUAAUACGAACUUGAUUGAAAUCUCAAAAUGCGUAAAACAACAACAAAAACAAGAAUCAUACCCCAAAAUCGAAUUGAAUCAAAAUAUGAAUUCCAACUACAAAUUUUGGAUCUGGAAAUACAAAAAUAUCAAAACAAAAACAGAAGAAAAACAGAUGAAACGUAGACUAAAAGAGAGAUCUCUGCAAUUGUUUGAAGCUGCAGCUGUUCAUCUUCAUACUUUUGGGUUUCUAAAUAUUUUUAGAUCAUAAAAUGUUGUUGAUUUUGGCUGUUCCUGAGUUGCUGAGCUGCACUCCUUAGUUUCAGACCUUUGCCUGGUUUAUUCUAGCUGAUUUUCUGCAUUGAGGUAUGUUUUACACUAUGUAAUCAUCGAGCUUGAAUCAAUGAAUGCAAAUAUGGUGUUUUAAAUGCCCUAUCAUGUGUUUAGUUUGCUUGGUUGUUACUGAUGUCCAUGAUUCCUUUUAGGUGUAUUGAUGUUUGCUUUACUAGUAUGUGUUGAACAUUUUACUUAGCCUCGUUUUGUAUAUGUAUGAAUAUCAAAUCAGCCUAAGUGCAGUAGUUUGACUAAUUUAUGCCUACUGAUGUAAUGAUGUUCAGAGGGUUGAGUUGUAGGUUUGAUCACCAGUUGGUCAAAUCCAUCCAAUAAGUAGACUAAAGCAACAAAGUUGGCUCAUGUGAUUUUGUUGCCGCAUUGUCACGGAAGCAGUAUAAUAAUUAUAUCUAUUUAGAAUUGUUUAGGCCAGAAUUGUAAAGUCAAUUACGAUUCACACAAGGUUAUCUAUGUGAUAGACUCAUUUGAGUUAAAGUGUCAGUUUCUUCUUGUUAAAUAUAUUGAUCUGUUACAGGCAUAGUUAAUUUGUAAUAUUAAAAUGGAUGAGGAUUUCAUUUGUAGAAUCUGCUUAGUUCUCUGCACUUAGUGUCAUGUAUGUACUGGGCCUGGCGGGACUAUUUUCUAGGCCUUGAUGGGGUUUGGCCAUGUUUCUAAAAUGCUAUCACAUCUUGGGCUUCAUCUCUCAGCCCAAUUCUAUUUGUAUUUGAACCUGUCGGAGAUUUAGUUUUAGCCAGAACAAUCAAUGUCAGUUCAAUGACACACUGGCAAAUUAUUGAAAUAAGCAGAAUUCAUUCAAUUAGAGCUAUCAGGUAAACAUCAGCCUCUAUUCAACAAAAUUAGAUAGCCUCCUUUAAUCAUAAUUCUCAAGUCUGAUUCUUAGCCCCUUUCCAAAUAAUUCUUUUCAAACAAUUUGUUGAUGCCUAAAGGGUUCAACGCUAGGUUGUUAAUGAUGUAUUUAACUCUUAUAAACUUACCCACAUGUCAUUUACAUAAUCUUGG
rnacentral:lncRNA from 1 species